CAGACCCAGCUACUCUGAUACUGUUACUGACAGACCCAGUUACUCUGAUACUGUUACUGAUAGACCCAGCUACUCUGAUACUGUUACUGACAGACCCAGCUACUCUGAUAAUGUUACUGACAGACCCAGUUACUCUGAUACUGUUACUGACAGACCCAGCUACUCUGACACUGUUACUGACAGACCCAGCUACUCUGAUACUGUUACUGACAGACCCAGUUACUCUGAUACUGUUACUGACAGACCCAGCUACUCUGACACUGUUACUGACAGACCCAGCUACUCUGAUACUGUUACUGACAGACCCAGCUACUCUGAUACUGUUACUGGCAUAACAAUAAUCCCAACCCUUUUCCUGGAUAUAAUGUGGUGUGGAACCCCUCUAACAUCUCCUAUGAUCUACUGAUUGAGAACAUCACUGAAUCUGACCUGGGACUCUACUACUGUGGGACUGUGGAGAACAAUGUAGUGGAUGAUGGAGCCGUGUCAAUGCUGCCCCCUAGCCCUAACAGGUUAAACAGAAAGAGUUGUACCACUAUGGAAACAUCACCACUAGGAUUUCACUUGACACCAGUCCUCCUGAGUCCUCCCCUCCUCCUGUAGACUGUGGGCUGUGUUGGAUGUUGCUGUUCAGUCUGUGUCCUGUGUCUGCUCUCCUCUCUCCUCUCCUCCACCUGUGUCUACUCCUUCUGCAGAACAACAGCUGCAACUGAGACGCGGGUUCCUCUGAACAAGACCACGACCAGGGGAAGAGGAAGGAGACCUGUUUAACGCCUCGUCAGGGACAGAGGAGACCAAAGAAGAAGAAGAAGAGACCUAUACCAUCCAUCAAUACCAGCAGAGUGAGACCUAUACCAUCCAUCAAUACCAGCAGAGUGAGACCUAUACCAUCCAUCAAUACCAGCAGAGUGAGACCUAUACCACCCAUCAAUACCAGCAGAGUGUGAGACCUAUACCAUCCAUCAAUACCAGCAGAGUGAGACCUAUACCAACCAUCAAUACCAGCAGAGUGAGACCUAUACCAUCCAUCAAUACCAGCAGAGUGUGAGACCUAUACCAUCCAUCAAUACCAGCAGAGUGAGACUUAUACCAUCCAUCAAUACCAGCAGAGUGAGAC
rnacentral:lncRNA from 1 species